rnacentral:rRNA from 1 species
UCGUCACACUAUCAUUAACUGAAUCCAUAGGUUAAUGAGGCGAACCGGGGGAACUGAAACAUCUAAGUACCCCGAGGAAAAGAAAUCAACCGAGAUUCCCCCAGUAGCGGCGAGCGAACGGGGAGGAGCCCAGAGCCUGAAUCAGCAUGUGUGUUAGUGGAAGCGUCUGGAAAGGCGCGCGAUACAGGGUGACAGCCCCGUACACAAAAGCGCAUGUGCUGUGAGCUCGAUGAGUAGGGCGGGACACGUGGUAUCCUGUCUGAAUAUGGGGGGACCAUCCUCCAAGGCUAAAUACUCCUGACUGACCGAUAGUGAACCAGUACCGUGAGGGAAAGGCGAAAAGAACCCCGGCGAGGGGAGUGAAAAAGAACCUGAAACCGUGUACGUACAAGCAGUGGGAGCCCCACCACUAAGCCAGUGGUGAACUCCACAUCCGCAUCCUUUGCUGAGGAUACGGUUAACGGAGCGAAAGCGACGUUCAACCGCAAAACAAGCAGAGGGGGCUUAGUGGUGGGGUGACUGCGUACCUUUUGUA